AUUGAACGCUGGCGGCAGGCUUAACACAUGCAAGUCGAGCGGGGUGAUGGUGCUUGCACUAUCACUUAGCGGCGGACGGGUGAGUAAUGCUUAGGAAUCUGCCUAUUAGUGGGGGACAACAUCUCGAAAGGGAUGCUAAUACCGCAUACGUCCUACGGGAGAAAGCAGGGGAUCACUUGUGACCUUGCGCUAAUAGAUGAGCCUAAGUCGGAUUAGCUAGUUGGUGGGGUAAAGGCCUACCAAGGCGGCGAUCUGUAGCGGGUCUGAGAGGAUGAUCCGCCACACUGGGACUGAGACACGGCCCAGACUCCUACGGGAGGCAGCAGUGGGGAAUAUUGGACAAUGGGGGGAACCCUGAUCCAGCCAUGCCGCGUGUGUGAAGAAGGCCUUAUGGUUGUAAAGCACUUUAAGCGAGGAGGAGGCUCUUUUGGUUAAUACCCAAGAUGAGUGGACGUUACUCGCAGAAUAAGCAUCGGCUAACUCUGUGCCAGCCGCCGCAGUAA
rnacentral:rRNA from 1 species